AGCAGUCGCGGUAAUUCCAGCUCCAAUAGCGUAUAUUAAAGUUGUUGCAGUUAAAAAGCUCGUAGUUGAACUUCGAGGUCUACCCAUUGGUCAGGCUUAAUUGUCUGUACUGGUGAGAUGGAUUUCUACCUUCUGAGGAACUUUCAUGCCAUUUAUUUGGUGUGAUGGGAAAUCAGGACUGUUACUUUGAAAAAAUUAGAGUGUUUAAAGCAGACUAUCGUCUGAAUACAUUAGCAUGGAAUAAUGAAAUAGGACGGACUGAUUCUAUUUCGUUGGUUUCUAGGAUCACCGUAAUGAUUAAUAGGGAUAGUUGGGGGCAUUAGUAUUCAAUUGUCAGAGGUGAAAUUCUUGGAUUUAUUGAAGACUAACUACUGCGAAAGCAUUUGCCAAGGAUGUUUUCAUUAAUCAAGAACGAAAGUUAGGGGAUCGAAGACGAUCAGAUACCGUCGUAGUCUUAACCAUAAACUAUGCCGACUAGGGAUCGGACGAAGUUAAUUUUANAAUGACGCGUUCGG
rnacentral:rRNA from 1 species